rnacentral:rRNA from 1 species
AACGUAGGUACCGAGCGUUAUCCGGAUUUACUAGGCGUAAAGCGUGUUCAGGCGGCCUGGCAAGUCGGGCAUGAAAUCUCUCGGCUCAACCGAGAGAGGCUGUCCGAUACUGCUGGGCUUGAGGACGGUAGAGGGUGGUGGAAUUCCGCGUGUAGUGGUGAAAUGCGUAGAUAUGCGGAGGAACACCAGUGGCGAAGGCGGCCACCUGGACCGUCCCUGACGCUCAAACACGAAAGCUAGGGUAGCGAACGGG